ensembl:snRNA U6 U6 spliceosomal RNA
GUGCUCGCUUGGGCAGCACCUGUACUAAAAUUGGAACGAUAUAGAGAAGAUUAGCAUGGCCCCUGCGCAAGGAUGGCAUGCAAAUUCGUGAAGCAUUCCAUAUUUUU